GGGGGGAACCUGCGGA
rnacentral:rRNA from 1 species